CCACGGCUAACUACGUGCCAGCAGCCGCGGUAAUACGUAGGUGGCAAGCGUUAUCCGGAAUUAUUGGGCGUAAAGCGCGCGUAGGCGGUAAAAUAAGUCUGAUGUGAAAGCCCCCGGCUCAACCGGGGAGGGUCAUUGGAAACUGUUUUACUUGAGUACAGAAGAGGAGAGUGGAAUUCCUGGUGUAGCGGUGAAAUGCGUAGAGAUCAGGAAGAACAUCGGUGGCGAAGGCGCUCUGCUGGACCAUAACUGACACUCAGGGACGAAAGCUAGGGGAGCGAAUGGGAUUAGAUACCCCAGUAGUCCUAGCCGUAAACGAUGGAUACUAGGUGUUGUCUG
rnacentral:rRNA from 1 species